rnacentral:rRNA from 1 species
AUGCCUUACACAUGCAAGUCGAACGGCAGCGCGGGGCAACCUGGCGGCGAGUGGCGAACGGGUGAGUAAUAUAUCGGAACAUACCCAGUAAUGGGGGAUAACUAUCCGAAAGGAUAGCUAAUACCGCAUACGCCCUGAGGGGGAAAGAGGGGGAUCGCAAGACCUCUUGUUAUUGGAGUGGCCGAUAUCUGAUUAGCUAGUUGGUAGGGUAAAAGCCUACCAAGGCUUCGAUCAGUAGCUGGUUUGAGAGAACGACCAGCCACACUGGAACUGAGACACGGUCCAG